UACGUAGGGUCCAAGCGUUAAUCGGAAUUACUGGGCGUAAAGCGUGCGCAGGCGGUUGUGUAAGCCAGAUGUGAAAUCCCCGGGCUUAACCUGGGAAUGGCAUUUGGGACUGCACGGCUAGAGUACGGCAGAGGGGACUAGAAUUCCUGGUGUAGCAGUGAAAUGCGUAGAUAUCAGGAGGAAUACCGAUGGCGAAGGCAGGUCCCUGGGUCGAUACUGACGCUCAUGCACGAAAGCGUGGGGAGCAAACAGG
rnacentral:rRNA from 1 species